rnacentral:rRNA from 1 species
UACGUAGGGCGCAAGCGUUGUCCGGAAUUAUUGGGCGUAAAGCGCUCGUAGGCGGCCUGUUGCGUCCGCUGUGAAAUCCCGGGGCUCAACCCCGGGCGUGCAGUGGAUACGGGCUGGCUGGAGGCAGGCAGGGGAGAACGGAAUUCCUGGUGUAGUGGUGAAAUGCGUAGAGAUCGGGAGGAACACCGGUGGCGAAGGCGGCCAGCUGGCGCUGACCUGACGCUGAGGCGCGAAGGCGUGGGGAGCGAACGGG